CAGGCCUAACACAUGCAAGUCGAACGAAACGCAGGUCUUCGGGCCUGUUGUUUAGUGGCGAACGGGUGAGUAACACGUGAGAAACCUACCCUGGAGACCGGGAUAACCAGAGGAAACUCUGGCUAAUACCGGAUACCCUCAGAUAGCCGCAUGGCCAACUGAGGAAAUGCUCAGGUGUUCUAGGAGGGUCUCGCGGCCUAUCAGCUUGUUGGUGGAGUAACAGCCCACCAAGGCAACGACGGGUAGCUGGUCUGAGAGGACGAUCAGCCACACUGGGACUGAGACACGGCCCAGACUCCUACGGGAGGCUGCAGUGGGGAAUAUUGCGCAAUGGGCGAAAGCCUGACGCAGCAACGCCGCGUGGGGGAUGAAGGCUUUCGGGUUGUAAACCCCUUUCGGCAGGGACGAAACUGACGGUACCUGCAGAAGAAGCCCCGGCCAACUACGUGCCAGCAGCCGCGGUAACACGUAGGGGGCAAGCGUUGUCCGGAUUUAUUGGGCGUAAAGGGCUCGUAGGCGGUUGCGUAAGUCGGAUGUGAAAACUCAGGGCUCAACCCGGAGAUGCCAUCCGAUACUGCGCUGACUAGAGUCCGGUAGAGGAGCAUGGAAUUCUUGGUGUAGCGGUGAAAUGCGCAGAUAUCAGGAGGAACACCAGUAGCGAAGGCGGUGCUCUGGGCCGGUACUGACGCUGAGGAGCGAAAGCGUGGGUAGCAAACAGGAUUAGAUACC
rnacentral:rRNA from 1 species